AUGUGUGCUCUUCAGAUUGUGGAACCAAAGAGGGCUGUCUCCAGAGAAGAUUCUCAAAGACCUGGUGCCCACUUAACUGUGAAAAAGAUUUUUGUUGGUGG